CGCUGCACCUGGGUGUACAGCCGCGCCACGCCGCCCACGCAGCGGUCGGGGUGCAUACACUUGCUGGAGUCCUCGCUGGUCUGCUCCAGCCGGCUGUGCACGUCGUUGGUGUGCAGGAUGGCAUAUAAAUAUCAUUUGCAAUGACCAGGUGUCUGCCUUUACCUGUCUAUUACAGAGGGAGUUUUCAGAAGUUCCAACUAUACCAAAUUUCAGAUCAUGGCCUAGCCCUAGAUUGUACUUGGAUCUUAAAAAUAGAAUUUUUAAGGUAUCUCCAACCUGAUCUCAACAUAGUCAAAAUCUGGAAGUCCAUCCUGUAAAACCGACAGAGACCCAGAAAAAUCCCUUUCGUUUUGACUUGAGGAGCAGAAAUGAGAACUCUUAAAGCUCAGAGAUUGAGAGAAUCAUCCUGAGUUUUGUAUUUCCCUCCCUUUUCCUUUUUCUCCAUUCACUUCCACCUCAGGAUCUUGUGCUGGAGGUAGUGGCAGCAAAGGAGCUAGCAUGGAAAACUGCAGAAGCCAAAAUUCGGAGGGAAUUUUUCAUUUUUCAUUUGGUAUAGCUGCAGUUCCAAGAGUCAGAGCCAAACAACUCUCCCCAAGCUCCCACCCUCCCCCUUUCCUGUCCUUUAGUCAUUUGGACCCCAGAUGAGACUUAAUCACUGAAGUGAGUGGUUUGGGGCUGAUGGGCUGAAUAAAGGAGGCCCAAGGACCCAGAAAGUACUAGGGAGGUAGGAGAGAAGGAAGAGAUUAGGAAAUGGAUCCCAUAAAACUGUUUGGAAACAUCUGGGCUAAUCUCCAACCUGUCAUGGUGGCUCUGCUCCUAAUUAGCAUUCCAAAGACUAUGAGGACUGAGCUAACAGGUAGACCUCUUACCAGGUCUCAGAUUAAUCAAUAGGUGACACACUCACAGGACAGUUCUGAACACCAUUUAAAGCCUUUGAAACUUGAACUGACAUUAUUACCACAGCACACAAAAAGUGAGCUGGAACUUAUUGCUUGAACCUAACCAGGUCAAGGGCCUGCUAAGAUAAAAAUACAAACAUUCUAUCUGGGAUUUAAACAAGACCCCAAGUCUCAUAAAGUGAUAUUCAAAAUUUCCAGGACACAAUCCAAAAUUACUUGGCAUUUGAAGAGCUACGAAAUUCUCAAAAGAUAAUCAAUAGAUGCCAAUAUGAGAUAGAGCACAGAUGUUGGAAUUAUUUGACAAAGACUUUAAAACAGAUAUUAUAAAAAUUCUCAAAGGAAGAAUUGUAAAUAAGUUCUGAAAUAAGAUUAAAAUGGAAAGUUAAAACAGAAGAUAUAAAGGUGAACCAAAUGGAAAUUUUAGAACCAAAAACACAUUAACCAAAUUGAAAAAUUAACUGGAAGGAUUCAAUAGCAGAAUGAAGAUGACAGAAAAUAGAAAUUAUGCCAGAUUAAUGGAAAUUAUUUGGAGAGAAGAAGGCAUGUGAUGCUAGAAAAAAAUCUGAAAAAAUAAUAGUUGAAAACUGCAUCUUUGGAGAAAGACAGAUAACUAUAAAUUUUAGCAGUGGAGCAAACCCCAAAUAAGAUAAAAUCAAAUAAAUCCAUGCCCAAACACAUCAUACUCAAAUUCCCAAACCAUCAAUGACAAAGAAAAAUUAUUGAAACAGCUAGAGAGAAACAAUGCAUUGUCUCUAGGAAAAUAAUGAUUUGGUGACAAUGAUUCUCUCCUUAGAAACUGCAGAGGUCAGCCCCCGGAGUGGCUUCAUUGGUUGGAGUGUCAUCCCAUGUACUGAAAGGUUGUUGGUUCGAAUCCUAGUCAGGGCACAUACCUAGGCUGUGAGCUCAAUCCCCAGUUGGGGCAUGUAUGGAAGGCAACCGAUUGAUGU